CGGAGGGUGCAAGCGUUAUCCGGAUUCACUGGGUUUAAAGGGUGCGUAGGUGGGCUUGUAAGUCAGUGGUGAAAUCUCCGUGCUUAACAUGGAAACCGCCAUUGAUACUAUAGGUCUUGAAUUAUCUGGAGGUCGGCGGAAUAUGUCAUGUAGCGGUGAAAUGCUUAGAUAUGACAUAGAACACCAAUUGCGAAGGCAGCUGGCUACAGGUAUAUUGACACUGAGGCACGAAAGCGUGGGGAUCAAACAGGAUUAGAUACCCUGGUAGUCCACGCCCUAAACGAUGGAUACUCGACAUUUGUGAUACACAAUAAGUGUCUGAGCGAAAGCAUUAAGUAUCCCACCUGGGAAGUACGACCGCAAGGUUG
rnacentral:rRNA from 1 species